GUGCUCGCUUCAGCAGCACAUAUACUAAAAUUGGAAAGAUACAGAGAAGAUUAGCAUGGCCCCUGUGCAAGGAUGACAUGCAAAUUUGUGAAGUGUUCCAUAUUUUU
rnacentral:snRNA from 1 species